rnacentral:pre_miRNA from 1 species
GUGCAUUGCGGUUGCAUUGCACGUGUGUGCGCCAGGUGCAGUGCUUCGGCAGUGCAGCC